rnacentral:misc_RNA from 1 species
GUGAAUCAUCGAAUCUUUGAACGCACAUUGCGCCCUUUGGUAUUCCGAAGGGCAUGCCUGUUCGAGCGUCAUUAUCACCCCUCAAGCCCCGUGCUUGGUGUUGGACGGCCGGUCGAGCGAAUCGACCCCUCCUAAAGACAAUGACGGCGGCCUGUGGUUCCCCCGGUACACUGAGCUUCUCACCGAGCACGUAUCGGACCAGGGCACCCGGGUUCCGGUCCCCUCCUUUCACAAGGAAAUUUCUAUGGUUGACCUCGGAUCAGGUAGGAAUACGCGCUGAACUUAAGCAUAUCAAUAAGC